rnacentral:rRNA from 1 species
AUUGAACUCUGGCGGCAGGCCUAACACAUGCAAGUCGGGCGAGCUGCGGACGGGGGAGAAAUGUAUGGGGAUAUGCAUGAUGGCGUGGGAUAACUAGUGGAAACGGUUGCUAAAUCCGCAUACCAUCAGAUGAACCCAUCUGGGAUUCGCUGGUAGGUGAGGUAACGGCUCACCUAGGCCACGAUUCCUAGCUGGUCUGAGAGGAUGAUCAGCCACACUGGGACUGAGACACGGCCCAGACUCCUACGGGAGGAAGCAGUGGGGAAUAUUGUACUAUGGGGGCAAGCUGGAUGCAGCCAUGCGGCGUGUAUGAAGAAGGCCUUCGGGUUGUAAAGUACUUGCAGUCGGGAGGCUUUACCGACAGAAGAAGCACCGGCUAACUCCGUGCCAGCAGCCGCGGUAAUAC